rnacentral:rRNA from 1 species
UACAGAGGGGGCAAGCGUUGUUCGGAAUUACUGGGCGUAAAGGGCGCGUAGGCGGCCGCCUAAGUCAGACGUGAAAUCCCUCGGCUCAACCGGGGAACUGCGUCUGAUACUGGGUGGCUUGAAUCCGGGAGAGGGAUGCGGAAUUCCAGGUGUAGCGGUGAAAUGCGUAGAUAUCUGGAGGAACACCGGUGGCGAAGGCGGCCUGCUGGGCAGUAGCUGACGCUGAUGCGCGACAGCGUGGGGAGCAAACAGG